ensembl:lncRNA
CAGAGGGGAAAGCACACUUCCACGAAUGAUAUAUCAUCGAAGAGAUAUGUGAAAAACACCUUGAGGAUUGGUCCUAAACAACGUUUGCCAUGUUUCAGUCGAUAUUAUGGAGUUAAUUUGGAAAAAAGUUAGACGUUUUGAAGACUGAAUUUUCGGGUUUUUUUGGUAGCCAAACGUGACGUACCAAAUGGAGCAAUUUCUCCUAAACAAAUCAUCUUUCAGGAAAAACGGAGCAUUUGCUAUCUAACUGAGAGUCUCCUCAUUGAAAACAUCUGAAGUUCUUCAAAGAGACAUGUUAGUGUGUUGUUGGAGGGCGAGAGUCUCAAAAUUAAAAAAUGCAGCAGUAGUCAACUUCAUCAGUUCCCCUACUGCACAUAUAAGGCUGAACAAUAUAUGUUCAACAACCACAUCAAAUAUCAUGCUUCAGUGAGGCACAAAGAGUUCACAAUCAUAAAGUUGUAGAAAUGCGACACACUUUCAUUGUUGCUAUUGCACGGCAACAAUAAUGAACAGAGCACAGUUUCUGAAGCACCUGACAUACCAUCAGCAUCCAGUGGCCCCUCAAGAGCACCCAGAGGCCCUUAAUAAACAGUGGCCAGUGGCCCCUCAAGAGCACCCAGAGGCCCUUAAACAGUGGCCAGUGGCCCCUCAAGAGCACCCAGAGGCCCAUAAACAGUCUCCAGAGGCCCCUCAAAAGCUUCGCCCCUCAAGAUCUUGUCGCCUGGACCUUGGAGGACUUUUGGUGUGGAUGAUGAUCAGGGCCGACCAAAGCAAGGUUGCUGUGGGGUGUUUGUUUUGAUGUACGCUCUGUGCAUUGCAAUGAAAGCACAGUGUGACUUCAAUGAGGUCUGAAGAAGAGAGGUUGGAACAUCGAAAAAGGCGGCAAAAACAAAACACGCAGCAGGAAGCAGAUGUUCUUCUAAGGGACACCCUAGAGACAGCAAGGUGAUGCGAACGCCCAACAUUUAAAGGCAUCGUUUCCCUCCCUAGUGUAAAUCAUAUGGAUGGGGAAGACCGCAUUACAACCCUUAAAAAACUAUGGUUGUAUGAUGGCCUGGAUGAAGAGGAAAAUAUUCUCCUCAAGUAAUCAUUCAUGUUUUCGUUUCAGUUAGAGAGAUUAUGAGAUGUUCUAUGUGGAGGCAGUUGACAACAAGAAAAUGAAUGUUUGCCUCUUUUGAGGAGCUGGAGUGAAGCCAUUUUUGAGGAGUGGUCAAACCUUGUUUUUGUCUGCUGUGUUAAUUGUUUCAAUUGUUAAUUGUGUUGUUUAGUAAAGAUGACUUAGAAGUCACCCGAGUCUCUGAUCUCUUCACUGGAGCUGGUAUAACUUAAUGUAAAGCACAUUCAGCUUGUCAGUAUGUCUAUAUGGUAUAGUCUGUCUCCAUUCUCAUGAAUUGCACUAUAAAUCAGGAUAGGUAGAAACUGUAUAUAUAUGCUCAAUUAAGUAAUGUAAUUACAAAGUCAUAACAUUUAUCAACACAAUUUUAACAGUACAUUACAUACAUAACAAGUCUGUUGUUCACUGCAACAAUAUCAAUAGCUUGUCUCAAAUAUAGCAUGAAGCAAAAAGUGUUACAACAUGUGCCGGUUCAGCUUUAUAUAAUAUUUCCCACAAUCUUCAAAAAUGAAAUACGUUUGUAUUCAACGUGUGCCUUGCACAAACAUGUGUGUUUGUAUUCAGUGUGUGACUCUCAAACCUCAGAUGGAC